rnacentral:rRNA from 1 species
CCCACUAUGCUUAGCCCUAAACCCAGACAGUUCACCUAAACAAAACUGUCCGCCAGAGAACUACUAGCAACAGCUUAAAACUCAAAGGACUUGGCGGUGCUUUAUAUCCCUCUAGAGGAGCCUGUUCUAUAAUCGAUAAUCCCCGAUACACCUCACCAUCCCUUGCUAAUCCAGCCUAUAUACCGCCAUCUUCAGCAAACCCUAAAAAGGAGGAAAAGUAAGCACAAGUAUCUUAACACAAAAAAGUUAGGUCAAGGUGUAGCCAAUGAGAUGGAAAGC